UCCUCAUGGGGGCGCUAUGGGGGCACUAUGCGGUCCCUAUGGGGUCACUGUGGGGUCUUUAUGUGGUCCCUAUGUAGUCCCUAUGGGGUCCUUAUGUGGUCCCUAUGGGGUCCCUAUGUGGUCUCUAUGUGGUCUCUAUGGUGUCCUUGUGGGGUCCCUAUAGGGUCUCUAUAGGGUUCCUAUAGGGUCUUUAUGUGGUCCCUGUGGGGUUCCUGUGGGGUCCCUAUGUGGUCCUUAUGUGGUCCCUAUGGUGUCCCUAUGGGGUUCUUAUGUGGUCCCUAUGUGGUCCCUAUGGGGUCUCUUUGUGGUCUCUAUGUGGUCUCUAUGGGGUCUCUGUGGUGUCCUUAUGUGGUCCCUAUGGGGUCCUUAUGGGGUCCCUACGGGGUCCUUAUUGUGUCAGUAUGGGGUCCCUAUGGGGUCCCUAUGGUGUCCUUAUGGGGUCUUUAUGGGGUUUCUAUGUUGUCUUUAUGUGGUCCUUAUGUGGUCCCUAUAGGGUCCCUAUGGUAUCCUUAUGUGGUCCCUAUGGCAUCCCUACGAGGUCCUUAUGUGGUCUUUAUGGGGCCUCUGUGGGGUCUUUAUGGGGUCUCUGUGAGGUCCUUUUGUGGUCCCUAUGGCAUCCCUAUGUGGUCCCCAUGGGGUCUCUAUGUGGUCUCUUUGUGGUCUCUAUGUGG
rnacentral:lncRNA from 1 species